rnacentral:rRNA from 1 species
CUUAACACAUGCAAGUCGAACGGAAAGGCCCUGCUUUUGUGGGGUGCUCGAGUGGCGAACGGGUGAGUAACACGUGAGUAACCUGCCCUUGACUUUGGGAUAACUUCAGGAAACUGGGGCUAAUACCGGAUAGGAGCUCCUGCUGCAUGGUGGGGGUUGGAAAGUUUCGGCGGUUGGGGAUGGACUCGCGGCUUAUCAGCUUGUUGGUGGGGUAGUGGCUUACCAAGGCUUUGACGGGUAGCCGGCCUGAGAGGGUGACCGGCCACAUUGGGACUGAGAUACGGCCCAGACUCCUACGGGAGGCAGCAGUGGGGAAUAUUGCACAAUGGGCGGAAGCCUGAUGCAGCAACGCCGCGUGCGGGAUGACGGCCUUCGGGUUGUAAACCGCUUUCGCCUGUGACGAAGCGUGAGUGACGGUAAUGGGUAAAGAAGCACCGGCUAACUACGUGCCAGCAGCCGCGGUGAUACGUAGGGUGCGAGCGUUGUCCGGAUUUAUUGGGCGUAAAGGGCUCGUAGGUGGUUGAUCGCGUCGGAAGUGUAAUCUUGGGGCUUAACCCUGAGCGUGCUUUCGAUACGGGUUGACUUGAGGAAGGUAGGGGAGAAUGGAAUUCCUGGUGGAGCGGUGGAAUGCGCAGAUAUCAGGAGGAACACCAGUGGCGAAGGCGGUUCUCUGGGCCUUUCCUGACGCUGAGGAGCGAAAGCGUGGGGAGCGAACAGGCUUAGAUACCCUGGUAGUCCACGCUGUAAACGGUGGGUACUAGGUGUGGGGUCCAUUCCACGGGUUCCGUGCCGUAGCUAACGCUUUAAGUACCCCGCCUGGGGAGUACGGCCGCAAGGCUAAAACUCAAAGGAAUUGACGGGGCCCCGCACAAGCGGCGGAGCAUGCGGAUUAAUUCGAUGCAACGCGUAGAACCUUACCUGGGUUUGACAUGGAUCGGGAGUGCUCAGAGAUGGGUGUGCCUCUUUUGGGGUCGGUUCACAGGUGGUGCAUGGCUGUCGUCAGCUCGUGUCGUGAGAUGUUGGGUUAAGUCCCGCAACGAGCGCAACCCUUGUUCACUGUUGCCAGCACGUUAUGGUGGGGACUCAGUGGAGACCGCCGGGGUCAACUCGGAGGAAGGUGGGGAUGACGUCAAGUCAUCAUGCCCCUUAUGUCCAGGGCUUCACGCAUGCUACAAUGGCUGGUACAGAGAGUGGCGAGCCUGUGAGGGUGAGCGAAUCUCGGAAAGCCGGUCUCAGUUCGGAUUGGGGUCUGCAACUCGACCUCAUGAAGUCGGAGUCGCUAGUAAUCGCAGAUCAGCAACGCUGCGGUGAAUACGUUCCCGGGGCUUGUACACACCGCCCGUCAAGUCAUGAAAGUUGGUAACACCCGAAGCCGGUGGCCUAACCGUUGUGGGGGAGCCGUCGAAGGUGGGACUGGUGAUUAGGACUAAGUCA